ensembl:lncRNA
AUAAAAUUCACACAUAAUCUUGCAACUAGGAGAUAAUUACUUUUGGGGGUAUAUCCUUGUAGUCAUUUUAUGUGCAAAUUUGGAAUUGCACUGGAAAUAUUGUUUUCACUCAAAAUAUUUAAUACGCAUAUUUCUGCAUCAUUAAAUGCACUUUUAAACCUGACUUUUAAUGACUACCUGGGAUUAAACACCUAUUCUAAAACCUGUUUAAUUGUCAUAUGGUAUGAAAUUCACACUGUUUGGUGGCUUAAAGACUGAGUUUGCUGGUCAAAUAAGGGACAAGGCAGGGAAGAAAUCUUAAACCAGUUACCUCUUUGUCUGUCUCCAGGGUGGGCAGGAGCUGAGAGCCGAUUGUUAAGUUUUCAGGAAUUUUGUGAGCUGGUUGUUAAGCCAUUGGUAGCUUCACAUUGGCCAUGGUCAGGAGUAUUUACGCCAGAGCAAUCAGCAAGUGCUGAAAAAUUAGGACGGUUCCCCCCAGAGAGCUGGUUUCCCAGCACAUUACUGUAGACUCUGAAUCUCCCUCCAUAGUGUUUGACUUAAAGGUUAAAAGAGAGAAAAUUCUUUCUCUUUUCAACACCCAAAAGACCAAGUCCUAGCAUCUUUUCGUUUAAUCUAAAAUUAAAUGCCGUAUCUUAAGACGAGCAAUUAAAGCCACAUUCUAAGGCCGCAUUCAUCUCUCCUGGAGAAAAAGCAAAAUAUCUGCAAGCAAAUGACUUAAGAUUUAAAAAAGGAAUCAAUGUUGGAUACAACUUUUUUGUUCUUCCUGAAUAAGAUAAAUAACUGGCAGUUGUGUGCCUGUGAACGAGCAGAGAAAGUUCAUUCGCGAUCACUUUUGAACUGAGGAAAGGUAAUGUAUUCUUUGAUCUAACAGACGUGUUCUGGGUACUGAUCGUUAAUCUUGUUUAAUGAGGGCUGAGUCCUGUUCGUAGAGUUCUGUGAUCUAGGCAGCUGAUCACGAUGGUGCCAGCGCAGUCAAGGCCAAGCUCUCUCAUCGUAGUCUCCGAGUGUUUACGCUUGUCUAGUUGUGACAGUAAACUAGAAGGCAGAGAGCGCGGAGGGAGGGGCUCUGAGGAAGGGAGGUGCUGCGGUCGGUUUUCUUGGCCCCAGUGUGAUUUCAAAUAGAACUGGCCUCAUUUCAUUCAUCAGCCCCUGUUGACCUCUGCUAGCUUGACCAAUUAUCUCUGUAACUUUUUUCUCCUCACCAAUUGGCACCGUGGUUUCUAGAUAUCCUCUGUCUACCUCUGAGGCAGGGAGAUGGCCACCGUACCCCUCAAGGGCACGUUCAACCUCAUAGCUCUCGGCAGUGAAAGGAAGCGAGAAAUGAUUCGAAGGAGGGAAAUGAGAAUCCACGAGCCGACUCUGCAGACUUGAGGCAAUGGACUAAUUUGGUCCUUUUCGUGACGUGACAGCCUUCACAUCCCUCUCCAUUAACCACCGUCUGCUGUUAGCAGGAGCUGCGGGCUGGUGAUUUUGGAGGCUUCCUGAGAAUCACAGAAAUUUUGAAAAUAUUGGAUGUGUGUUUGAUAACAUUUUCCAAACCAAAUAUAAGAGCGUAUAACCAUUUUGAAGAGAAAUGUGAAGUUUUCAAAAAGUUUUCCUUGAGGGGGACAGAGAGCUGUUUUGACUGUUGUGGCUGCUACCCCAGGGACGACUUUUCUGUUCUCAGAUGGCGUUUAACCAUCAUUUACUAUGUGCCGAGCACCAUGCUUGGAGCUCCACAUACGUCAUCUCACCCCAUGCUCACGGAAGCCUCUGACACAGGGCUCAUGACUCCCGUUUUGUAGGUGCAGACACUGAGACUCAGAGAAGGUAAACGGUCUGAAGUCCACCUCGGCGCAUGAACUCACCCAGUGCUUUCCUCCGCGUUGCUGCCUUGUCGCUCUGCUCGGAGCUGGGGUUGUGUUGUCUCUUGUUCUUAGCAGUAAAAUAUGCAAAGGGAAAUCGGAUCAGUCAUUAUAAUCUUAGCACUCUUAGUAUCUAGAAGGGGUUAGAGAUCAUGACCUUCCCCUUUUCUUUCUGUACGAUGAAGCUGAUGGAGCCUAUUGGGUGUGAGUUCUCUCCACUCCCCUUCUCCCAACCUUGAGAUUCUCUGCUGCCUCAUCUCCCAGCCUUUCCCCUCUGCCCAGAGGCGCUGGCUGGCCUCUGUUUCAAGCUCUCACCUCUGCUGCAUCUUGGAUCUCCCCUCCACUACCUCCUUUGCGACAUUUAUCUUACUUUCUUGUGCUUAUCACAUGGGACGUUAUACUUGACAUUUGUUUGUUAGUUUAUUGUCUGUCUCCACUGGAUUAUCGUCUCUGUGCAGUUGGGAGAUUUUAUCCUUCUUAUGGCCUGUGCUAAAGGGAGUGCAGCCGCAUAGGAUGUGCUCAUUUAAUAUUCAAUGGACUGAAUGAAUACUGCCGCCUCACAUGUCUAUUUUCUCACCUCUCCAGCCAUUGUCCGCUUUAUGGAUUCUUUUUCUUUUUUUUGCUGAGGAAGAUUUGCCCUGAGCUAACAUCUGUUGCCAAUCUUCCUCUUUUUGUAUGUGAGCCACCGUCACAGCAUGGCCACUGAGAGACAAGUGGUGUAGGUCUGCGCCUGGGAACUGAACCCAGGCUGCUGAAGUGGAGUGUGCUGAACUUAACCAGUAGGCCACUGGGGCCAGCCCCACCCAAUGGAUUCUUUAAUCUCACCCUACAAGCAAGCUCAGGUCUCUUCUUGGUGACACAUCCUUUCCUGGCCCAGCUACCUUGCUAAACUGCCAUCCCACUUAGAACCAACUCGUGCCUACCCACUCAUGACUUCAGAUCUCUCCUUUUCGUUGUCCACUCUGGGCAUUUUACUGAAACUGCUCCUUGCAGGCCACCGAUGAGCUCCUACCAAGUGUUACCAUCUGUCUGAAAUCCCUGACACUUCCAACGAUUUAAAAUCAUCCUCCUUUUUAAAAUUCUCUUCUCAGUUGUCCAUGUUUCUCAGUGAUGCAUGAUGAAAUACACAGCGGCAAAAUACCAUGAGGCUUGGGAUUUGCUGUGAAAUAUUUCAGGGAAGUAACCACAUGGCAAGAAGGAUUGCAUGGCCAGCAUCCUUGAUCAUUGCUGAUCCUCAUUGAAUGGGCACAGGUCUUCAUUAUGUAUAUCUCUACUUUUGUGUACAUUUGGAAAUUUUUAUCAAACCAAAAACAAAUGCCCCCUCAUGCUCUGUCUUCAGUGGCAUCUGACCCACCCUCUUGCCCAACACCUCCCUUGCUGCCCUUUCUGGUCGCGCUCCUUUCUCCUGCAUCCCUUGGUUCUGCCCUGGCCGUUGUCUCCCUCCAUAGUCUCUCUUGGAUACCCCCACCUGCCAUGGCAUUGAUGACCAUCCCUGAGUCUCUAAUUCCCACAGACCUGAACUGCUUCCCCCGGGCCCAGCUGCUGAAUCCCCAUGACCUGCAGAGACCACCCCAAUGCCCUCCAAGUGCAUGGAGCACAUGUGCUCCAACCAGAGCUCUUGUUUGCCCUCAAGGCCCUGCAUAGCCCUGCCCACUUCCUGUGCUUCCUGAGUUCUCAGUGACCUUGUCUUCCUUCUGGUGCCCUGGGUCCGAUACCCUAGAGUCACCAUGCCUGCCCCGCCUCCAAUGGAUGGCCAGUUCCCCUCUUCUUUCCCAAAGCCGCUUACUCCCCUCCCGCCCAUUUCUCCCAUUGGCUUCAUUAUCUCUUGCCUGAAUUGUUGUUUAGUUUGUCUUCAUGCUUUAAUUCCCUACCCCUGAUCCCAGGAACGCACCACUGUCAAAUGAAUCUUCCCACGUUCAGCCUCACCCCAAGCAUGCAGAAUGCACUUCUCUUAAUUCCAGACUCCAGGCUCUCAAUCUGGCCCCAUGUGGCCUCCCAACGCCAUCUCUCACUUUUCCUGUCUGGCACUCAGAGCUUUUACCAACGAGAACGCUCUCUGUGUCUCACACCUGCCCUUUUUCUAUGGAUACAGUUCUUACUUGUCCUUCAAGCUCCUGCCGGAAGGCCGCUUCCUCUGGGAAGCCCUUGCUGAUUUCUCAGUCAGCAGUAAUUCAUCCCACUUCGUCGUUCCUAAAUCAUUUCGGGAUGUUCUUGCCUCAUUUGGUUUUGUAAUGGAGUUUUGUGGGAACUUUUCCUGCAAGACUAGGAUGUUUUUUUCCCAGAGGCCCAACAUGUUGUGGAACCUUGUGUGUUGGAAGCAAUUAACACUCGUUAAAUGAGACAAUUUCCCCCCCCUCCCCCGUCUGCUUUGUGCAGUUACGAUGGUAAAUGGAAAAAUCUGAAAAUAAUCUCAGCUGAGAAACACUUUUAUGCUGAGAAUUGCUUUUAAUAUUUCAGAAUUGGCAUAUAAGACUAAAAAGAACCUACUCCAAAAUGUAGUGUUGGUGUGGGUUUAGAAUUCAGUGUUAACCAUGUAAAUAGGAAUUCAAGGGGAAUUUACCAAAUUGACCUCAUUUACAUGUGUAAUUAUCCACCUGUGAUCAUUCUACUGUCUUAUCUAUUCCGUCUUUCUCCUCCCACAUCAAGUUAAAAAUACUUUGUAUCAAGCAUUUUUUUCCUAACCAAAUACAAUGAAUUCUUGGAAUUGGGGUGUGCAUUUGUGUGUGUGUGUGUGUGUGUGUGUGUGUGUGUGUAAAUGCAGCUCUGCCACUUGAAACAAGAUGUGGAAGUACAAUGAAAUUACAACGUACUGUUGGUGUGGGUGAGAGGCUUAGAAGAUAGACAUCGUGAGUCAUGUUCAAGUGUGCACUUCACUAGGGGAGAUUUGGAGGUAAACGGCUUGGGGACAUCCCGCUGCUUUCAGUGAUCAGCAAAGCCAGGAAAGAAAACCAUGAGUUCUGCUCACCUGGAACUCCACAGGGCACAGUCCAUGGCAACUGGGAAUAGCUGCUUCCUCUGCUCAGAAGAUCUCUGAUAGGACAGGAAGGUGUCAGGGAGCUGGGCGCUGCCUUCUCAGGACACCCUCCUGGUGGGAAAAGGAUAAGCUCAGAGCUGGGGUAGAGGCCCUCGAGCUCGAAGCAAAAGAAAAGUGGUUACCCAGGUCCCUCAGUGUUUGGGUGUGCGAAGGAAUUGUGAGCCCUGGGGAUGCUUCCAGGGGCCUGUGGUCCCUGGAGCGAAGGGAUCUGAUGCAGCAGCCCUGGCCCCUCCAAGGGCAGGGGCCUCCCCUUGAGCCCCUGGCGACUCACAGGGUGGGCAUCGCCGCCGGGGAGCUCCUUAGAAAUGCAGACAGUCAGGCCACGCCCCCGCCUGCUGUGAAGCAGAACCCAAGUUCAGCAGGACCCCUGGUGGUCCCCAUGCACGUUCAAAUCUGAGAGGCACUGGUUUAGAAGACUGUGAAUAAAACACCCCUUUCGUGUGCUCAUUUGUUUUGUCACGAUUGUUCAUUUCUCUGAAUGCCGUAGUAGUUCUUUACGGUGCCUCCUUUUGACACCUGUAAAGUAGGUUAGUUUUACUCUCCAGCUUUGAGUUGGAUUUUUUUCUUAACCAGACCACAAGGGGCCGCAUCUCACCACAUAAACAUUCAUCACAUCCAGCCUGUUCCCAGCCACAGAGGCCGACUGAGGAGCUACAGGAGCCCCCUUCUCACAGGAAAACUGAUUUUUAGGAACCAGCAGACAAGCGUCAGGCAAUUUGGAAGUUGUGGUUCCUGAAUGGGUUCUUCCAGAGAGAAGCUACUAGAAGUGUUCCAGGUGAAUCAGACAAGCCUGCCUGCCUGCCUUCUGGAUUUUCACAAACUAAAGGCAGAGGGAGCACAGAACUUGCAGGAGGGCCUAGUGGGAGCAGAUACGAGCAUAUAGUAGAUGCUCCAUGGAUGAGCCAACAGCGUAGGAACAGAGAGGGGAGACUGCAGGUCUCCCGCCCACCCAUGGGAGAUCUUGGCACCGCCAGCCUGCCAGCAAUGCAGCUUGCAAGAAUUUCACGGGCACACAUAGGAUUUUUUUUUUACACAACUGAACUUUGAAGUCAACAUUCCACCAACAGGAGGAAACUGCCUCUCUUAUGCGGAGCUAAGAGAGAUCUUUUUCAGGAAACUAAUCCUCACAGUGUGAGGUUGGAAUGAUUAUUUAGACAUUUUGGGAAGAAGCAAACUGUGGCUUGAAGUGGGAAUCUCCUGGGGUCCUUAUUCCUCUACCCACAGCCCCUGAGACUCACCCCUCCUCCUCCACAGCAACAACCGGCAGAGAAAAGAAUACGUCUGACUUAAGAGGAGUCACUGGACAUGGUGCAUUCAUUAAGAUGCGGGAAGGACUUGGGACGCACUCACAGCUGAGGAAGGGAGCGGCAACAUGGGCCGAAAGAACAAGGCUGUCGUGGGGGCCAUAUUGGGGUUGACUGGGGAAAGGGUGGCUGAAAUUUAGAACCCUGUUGGACCAUCAGUAGACGAGAAUGACACUCUAGGGAUGACAAAUCAACGAGGUACUAAGAGUUUGCAUCCCCUCAAGAUCUACGCUAUAAUAGUUUAUUGAGUGGCCAUACCAAUCUGGUCUUUUACAUGAGAGAUAGGCAGAUUUUGAUUUAAUUUUUGCCACUGUUAUUUUGGGUUUCUGUUUCAGUGGUCUUACCCAUUUCCUACCCAAUACACUCCUUUUCUUGUAAAACUCAGCUGACACUAAACAAUGGCAUGGAAAAAAGCAAGGUUAUAUUUAGUAAUAAAGAUACCCCACUGCAAAUGGUUCCCUGGGGCCAGCUGUAGGAAUGUUAAGACAAUGCACCCGCCCCUUAACUGGAGCACCAGCCAAAGAGAGGGAGACAUGCCCCCGCUGUUAGACAUGACAGCUUCUUGGAGUAAGGACUGAAUCUCUUUAACUUCACCUUGUCCCAUUUGUCCUGCAGACAUCCUUUCUGUAGAAAAACUUGUCAUGAGUGGUGAACUGAGGAAGAAGAAAUUUGGAUGGACAAGUCUCCAAACCAUCCCUAAAUCCCAUGUCUCAGCAAAGAAGUCACAGGCUGUCGACCCUCCAGGCUGUACACUCUCCUUUGCAUAGGCUCAUGGUUAAACUGGCAGGUCAUCUAGGCUUCUAGCUUCUGGUUGAUGUUUUCUUUUGUGCUGGUAUAAUUCUCCUAUUUGUUGGUAUUAUUCCCAGUAGAGAUGUCAAAUAGGUUUCACCUCACGUGUCAACUCAUAUAUUGGUAGUGGCUGCAAGUCCACUACAUGGAGAAGGACUCUGCAUCACAUGUCUUAGGUUGGGUUCCCUGAAGCAGAAUCUGAGACAGGUAUUCAGAUGCCCUGGGUUUCUUGAGGGAAGACUCUCUGGAGAAAGGGAGUGAAGGAAGCCAGAUAGGGUAGGGAAGGAACUACACAAGGAUGUGGUCUCAGCUGUAGCCUAGCUUCAGCCUGAUCUCAUGGGGGCCCUGGAGCAUGAAUCACACCUCAGAGUUGGUCCCACCUUGAGGCAAGAGGGCUGGACUUUUGUAGCCCCUUAUUAGGCAGUUGUUGGUAUAGAAUGCCUUAGGUGAGGCACCUCUCAUUUUGCUGAGGUCAAUUCUCUGGAGAUAAAGGCAGCUCUGAGCCUCUAACGCCUGACAUUCAUAGCACCUGGCGGAUGGACGAAUGUACUUGCUGAUAAAGGGGAUCUGGGUGGGACAUCACCAGCAUCUACUACUCUGCAUUCAUGCUCAGGAAACGAGUGUUGUGACCCAUUAGCAAUGUCUGCCACGGGCAUGGGCACC